AGGGGAUUAGCUUAAUGGUAGAGUGGUUAUCUUACACAUAACUGGCAGUAGUUCGAUUCUACUAUUCCCUA
rfam:Mucor circinelloides f. circinelloides 1006PhL unplaced genomic scaffold supercont1.442, whole genome shotgun sequence.